rnacentral:rRNA from 1 species
AUGAAAGAAGAAGAAGAAGAAGAUGAAGAGAGGAAGAGAAGAACAAAAUCAAGGGACGAUGAACUCCAACAGCAGGAUGGUGUCAACAACCCCAAAAACACGAAUGAACGGAACAAACAAAGCAACCUCACAACAGAUAAUGCUACAACAACAACUACCCCAACACAAGCACAAGAUACGAUCGACGUCAGAACCUGUGAAGAGGCUCAGCUGAAGAACAAUCAAGUCAGCAGCCCCGCCAACCAAAUGCAAGAGGCUAACCCACAAUCAACCGUUAGCAUAACAAACAACAAAGAAGAAGAAAACAACGAAGAGGAGGUAUCACAAGCACUGCAAGACCAAGAGACAACCCGUGUUGAAAUUGAACCCCAUAGUGAACCUCAAACAGACGAAGGCGUCAUAGAACAGGAACUUUGUGUACAAGAGAUUUCCAGCGCCACAACAUUGCAGAUCACCAUCACGAGUACAAAGGAGAAAGCGCAAGACAUCCCAGCCGAUGAGAAACAAGAGACUGUUAUACCUGACAAAGAAACAGUAGAUGCAGGCACAAAUAACCCAGUCAUCAACACGGAGGAAACAAACGAGUACGCUGAUCUCGAAGAUCAAGAACUUCAAACAACAACAUCUGAAGAGGUGAGGUUACAAAGCUCAGACACAAAUGAAGUUCAAUCUAUAAUUUCAAUUUUUAUUAAACAGGAAGAGGAAGCAAGCAAAAGCACUGGCAUAGACAUUCAACAAGAAAAACUAGAGGACAACACGAGACAAGGAGAAGCCGUAGUACAAGCAGUAGACAGUCCUGCAACUCCAGAGAUAGAGGGACAAGAAGCUCAAGAAACGAUCAACAAUCAAGACCAUCAAACACAACCAGAGGAGCCCAAUGAACAAUCCGAACAUGUUCUUCAAACGAUAGACAAUAAUGCCACUGAAGACCAAGCCACAAAAAAUUCACUCACCAAACAACAGGUACCAGAGACAGCGGCAGCGUCAACGACUGAAAAGCUAGAGGAGACCAAUGAGCAAAAGGAGGACACUGAAGAAGGGCAACAUGUUCUUCAAAAGGCAGUCAUCAACGUAACAGAAGACCAAGCCCCAGAAUAUUCACUCACCGAAAAACAUGCAGCAGAGACGGCAGCAGCAACAACGACUGAAAAGCUACAAGACAAAAACGACGGCAGCGGCGAUGAACUACAAAAGAAAGAAGAAGAUGCCCAAAAACCUCCACUCAACGAAGAACAAGCACAACAUUCAGCAGCAACGAUUGAGGAGAAACACGAAGAAGGUGACCACGGAGAUACAAAGGUCAGUGCCAACCAGGUCGAGACUGAAAAACAAGACAGAAAAGACCACCAGCAAGACACGACGGUUGACAAGGAAAAACAUGAUGCUAAGAAAGACACAGACGACUCAAAUGAGGAUGCAGCAAAAAUUGAACAAAAGGGCACAAUGGAGAAAGGGGACAAAGAUAGUGAUUCCGUCAACAAAGCCAUCGAAGACCUGUACAACGCUGUAUGCAAGCCAUGGACACAGAGAGAAAUGGAUGAGCUUUUCAUUACAACGAACAAGUUUGAUGUCAAUCUAGGCCAUGUCGCCGAAAGCUUCAAGGUCGGUAAAUCAGUAUGCACCGAAGCAAUCGAGCCCAUGCUAACAAUCUUGAGAAAACAACUAAAUGGCACAGGGAAAAAGAUUCUGUCGUUAAGCAACACUUUCCUUCUACCAUGUUCGUUGCGCGGGUUUGAGCAAGACGAAAAUACAAGUCAUUACUUCACCAUUACAGUUAACAUGCAAAAACAGCGAUUUGAACUCCUUGACUCUUCAACUGCAUAUUCAGGCACAAUAGAAUUCUUCAACAAUGUAACCAGCAAAUUAAUGAAAAUAUGGAAGCACGUAAGCACAGAGCUACAGCUUUCACAAAAAAGCAUCGACCAUUUCAAAAGGGUCAAACUGCAGGUGCCACUUGAAGGAGAAGACACAAUGGACUACGCAUUCUAUAUGUACAUGAACCUGAAGCACUACUCCAAUGAUGGAACAACAGCAAACUUAGAGCCAGAACAAGUCCAGAGUUGA